rnacentral:rRNA from 1 species
AUUGAACGCUGGCGGCAUGCUUUACACAUGCAAGUCGAACGGUAACAGGCCGCAAGGUGCUGACGAGUGGCGAACGGGUGAGUAAUGCAUCGGAACGUGCCCAGUCGUGGGGGAUAACGCAGCGAAAGCUGCGCUAAUACCGCAUACGAUCUAUGGAUGAAAGCGGGGGACCGUAAGGCCUCGCGCGAUUGGAGCGGCCGAUGUCAGAUUAGGUAGUUGGUGGGGUAAAGGCUCACCAAGCCAACGAUCUGUAGCUGGUCUGAGAGGACGACCAGCCACACUGGGACUGAGACACGGCCCAGACUCCUACGGGAGGCAGCAGUGGGGAAUUUUGGACAAUGGGCGCAAGCCUGAUCCAGCAAUGCCGCGUGCAGGAAGAAGGCCUCGGUUGUAACGUGCUUUGUACGGUAACGAACGGACGUACUGUUAAUAUACUGGGUCGUAAGUGACGGUACCGUAACGUAAUAAGACACCGGCUAACCUACGUAGCCACGCACG